ensembl:lncRNA
CCAACACUGUCAUGGUCUGCGGCCCGGCGUCCGAGGUGCUGGUGGGAUGCCCACUCCCGUGGGCGUAGCUGCUAACUCCACACCUGCAUCCCAUCCCAGGCGAUCAUCAGGUGGACCAUUUAAUCCUGCCCAGCCUGCUGCUCCACGCCAGUCUGUAGUCGUCCUUCAGCGAUCACUGCUCGGCGUGUUUUGAGUCACCAGCCUGUCCACCUGCCCGUCCGGAAUUUGGAUCACGAUCAGCCCCAGCCGCCUCGACCUUUCUGGAGCUUCUGCCCACGGACCCUCACCCCUCCCUCCGGUUCCCUCGGCCCCGCUAUCAUCCCUCCCACAGUCCCGCUCUCGGCGUUCCAGCGCGACUCGCCUCCCGGUCCCUCGGUUUCUCUGGUUCCGUGCGUUUUUUGCCUUCUACCCUCCCGGGACACCCUCAGUUAUAAUAAAGUUUAUUUUUGUUCUCUCGUA